rnacentral:misc_RNA from 1 species
AACGCACAUUGCGCCCCGUGGUAUUCCGCGGGGCAUGCCUGUUCGAGCGUCAGUACAACCCUCAAGCUCUGCUUGGUCUUGAGCCCCGCCGGCAACGGCAGGCUUUAAAAUCAGUGGCGGCGCCACCUGGCUCUCAGCGUAGUAACACACCCCGCUGCAGAGUUCUGGUGACGCUGGCCAGCAACCUCAACUUUCUAAGUUUGACCUCGGAUCAGGUAGGGAUACCCGCUGAACUUAA